CUAUGGGAUGCAGCAGUGAGGAAUAUUGCACAAUGGGGGGAACCCUGAUGCAGCAACGCCGCGUGGAGGAUGACGCAUUUCGGUGUGCAAACUCCUUUUAUAUGUCAAGAAAAUGACGGUAGCAUAUGAAUAAGCACCGGCUAACUCCGUGCCAGCAGCCGCGGUAAUACGGAGGGUGCAAGCGUUACUCGGAAUCACUGGGCGUAAAGGACGCGUAGGCGGGUUGGAAAGUCAGGUGUGAAAUCCUACAGCUUAACUGUAGAACUGCACUUGAAACUUCUAAUCUAGAGUAUGGGAGGGGGAGAUGGAAUUAGUGGUGUAGGGGUAAAAUCCGUAGAUAUCACUAGGAAUACCUAAAGCGAAGGCGAUCUCCUGGAACAUUACUGACGCUAAGGCGUGAAAGCGUGGGGAGCAAACAGGAUUAGAUACCCGGGUAGUC
rnacentral:rRNA from 1 species